CGUUACCCCACUGGAGAGAGACCCACCACCGAGUUGGUCCACCGAAGGAGCAAGCCGCACAGCCCACGUGCCAACGUAGGCCCGGUGAAUCUCUCAGGUAAAGCGGACAUGGGGCAGAU
rnacentral:ncRNA from 2 species